AAACAGCACACCUAUCACAACUAGGCAUCCCUGCUGUACCCCCAGUGCACAGUUGCACAGAAACUGAGCAGAGCUGGCAUAAGCCAAGGACCAUGGGUGUUAGGCCAGGUCCUGUGGGAGACAUGGAGGUCCGCAAACCUCAAAAUUCUACGGCUGUAUGUGUGAGAAGUUCUCUCUACAAAGCACUUGACGGGGAAAUGCCAGAUCUUGC